UUUGCAGGCACCCCAGCACAGAGAGGGGUAUAAGGGAUGGACUGAGGACAGGAGAGAAUCUGGAGGAGCAGGAACGGAGCAGACUGAGCUGUUGCUCGAAGUUAGCUAUGAGCUAACCUCAAAAGACCAAAAAGGAGAAAUCUGCCCUGGUGAAGGGAAAAAAAAAGAAAAACCACCAAACCCAAAACAGUCCAAAAUGUGUGACUCUCCUCAGGAAACUCUUACUGUGAAGAUUGGCACACUCUUUUCGCAUCCACAUUGUGAAACUUUUUCCUAGUCUUUGUUCAACCCUAAACAGAAAGAGGAAAUCAGUACUGGGGAAUCCACGCUUUCAUUUAGUGGUGGUGUGCGAGGUCCUGUAAAGCAGCAUGUAGUUUGAAGAAACCAGAUGGAAGUAAUGCAGCAAGUUUUCUCGGGGGAGGUGCUAGGAGUCUCUCCUUCCCCUAAUCUGAGCACCCCUGUGGCUCUUGUUUUGUGCUGUACAGGAGGAGGAGGGAGAGGCUGCUCUAAGGGAGGACAUGGUGAGAAUGAUAAUGAGCCUUGUCAGGCAGACUUGAAUUUGAGAUUAUUGCAAUGAUGACAUCAGUAGCAGAAGGUAUUUCCUUUGCAAGCAAACCACGAUGCAUUCUGAACACACUUUGGGAUUUCUGUUGUUAUUACUUCUGCAAACUGAGUGGGAAUAAAAGUGAGGGUAGGCUUUGCUAAUUGUGCUGUGUAAUCACUUGAAUUAUGGUUACAGUAAUCUAAAAGGCUUCAGAAGCUUUCUGAACCCCCAACAAGACCAGUUAUCAAAUAUGGAUUAAUAAAGAAUAAUUCAUUUAUUUAUACAUAGACAUGUAUAAUAUAUAUAUGCAUGUAAAUAACUUUUUCUUAGCAUGCAAAAUCUUCCAGCUUACUGGCAUCUCCCUUAUAUAUUAGCAGGGAAAACCUAACAUAAAGACAAAUAUUACUGAACUGUGUCACCCUAACCCAAGCACUACCCUGUCCACCAUAACUAUCAGCAGUUAACUGAUGAAGUGUGUAUUCUGCCACAGACACCUGUCAACUGAAAACUCACCUAAGAUAACAAAACUGAAACAGCCCACUGAUAAGAUGACACCGUUAAAUUCCUGCUAAGACAUGCAAGAAGUCUAUAGUCUGGAGGUGAAUUCUUCAGGCUUAUUACCAGAAACACAUCCUGAUUAUUACUGACUAAAGAGGAAUGAAAAUUGCAUGAUUGAGACAUCUCACAAUUGUUUGACUUACUGUAAAACUAAAUAGAUAAUGAUGACACACCACCACAUUCAUGUUUCUUGUAUACCCUUAAUGUUCCCAUAUUCCCAAAAAAUGUCUGUAAGCUCUCACAAUUGUUUGACUUACUGUAAAACUAAAUAGAUAAUGAUGACACACCACCAUAUUCAUGUUUCUUGUAUACCCUUAAUGUUCCCAUAUUCCCAAAAAAUGUCUGUAAGCUCUACAUACUUGCUCUAGCUAUAUGACUGAAAAACCUUGUGGCAAAUCAGUUGUGGUCUAUAAGGUACAUAAAUGCAUGACAUCAUGCAAUUGUUUUGUAAAUUUUUUUUAACCAUGUUAUGAUCGUGGAAAACUUGCUCAAUUAUUUCAAUGCCUCAAACCUUCAAUUUUAUUGAGUGGGCCAAUUUAUUCCCAAAGUAACUAAUUUAAAAUCAAUGGGGUUACUCCAGAGAUAAAUUUGGCAUCUUUCACUGACAGCACAGCUGCUGCAUAGAAACGUAACUAUUAUCUUAUGCAAAUAAAAGGCCUUUCACCCCUCAGUGAUGUCAUAUUCUUAUGACAGGGAGAACUGGUGCCUUGAAGCUAUAGUGUUUCAAGCUGUUACUCUGUCAACUUUUAUAAGCUAAGUGGAUUCAGGAAUGUUUAAUGUUUAAAUGAAAGAGCACCAAGAAAAAGAAACCUAUUUUAGUCACUGGAUAAGAAUUUUCAGGAUUUGACUGGUCUUCCUAAGUUCUUACUUUUCAUUCAGGGUUUAUUGUUCAGACUUAAUGCCCUCAGAGCUGAAGUUAGUAGAAAAUUAGUGCCUCCCAGGACAGGGCCUGUGACAGUCACAACACAAAAGAAAAAAGGCCUUUUAUUACAAGCUGUCUCAUUGAAAAAAAGAAUAAAAUGCUAUGUACCCUUUUACUGUUCAUCAGUAAUAUGGCAUAAGUUAUUUAGAAGUGAAUUUGAUGUACAUAAAAGAAAGCCAUAGAAAAGCCGAUUAAUAAAUACCUCCUUUACCUACUUAAAUCUAGUGAGCAGUAAUGGAAAAAUGACUUGAUCCUUGAUAGUAGAUAGAAAUCAUCUGUAGUUUGUGUGUUCCAUUUCUUAGAUGCUCUGAGGAAAUGAGAUAGGGCUAGAUAGAAGUCUAGACAGUGUUUGUGUCACCACUUAACAAUGUACUCAUUUGUGUAUAUAACUAUUCAGUUUAUGUUUAACUACAUAGUUGUUUGAAAUCUGGUAUUUCUAAUUGUGAAGAUUAUUCUUCAUUCAUUUUAUUGCCACAGGAGUGCUGUUAUUUACAUUGAGACCAAGAGAGCAACUCAAGUGAAUUGCUUCCUGUUCUUUAUAUUCUAUUGACCCAUUCUGCAGUAGUAUUAAUUUGGAUAUGAUGCAAUGCAGAAGCCUCAUAAUUUCUUUAUUCUCCAGGAAGCUUUCUGUCAAAGAGAACAUUUAAAGCCUCCUCUUUAGGAUCACCUGAAAACUUCUUGUUCAAAUAGUUUUCAGAAGGUUUAGUGUCAUUAGCAAUCAGAGUUAACUAAGAGUCAUGACUAUGCAAGGAAAGGCAAUGUAUUAUUUUUAUUGUCUUUUAUUGCAUGGAGUUUCUUAUCACUCUUUAAGUCACAUCAUGCAGUGCCGUGUUUUACUUAUUUCAUGUUUUAAUCCUCAGAACAGAAAAUUUACUGAUUGGCAGAAAUAGUUUCAGUGAAAACAGCGAAUCUGCCUGAGGAAACUACACAUCAGCAAUAAACUGUACUGGGAUGGUA